GCAUUAAUGGGGUAGUGGUAACCUGGGUCGUUGCCAUUCCCAAAUGGCCACAUUCAUUCGACCCGCCGGGGGUUCGAUUCCCCCUUAAUGCA